rnacentral:rRNA from 1 species
UGGGGAAUAUUGGACAAUGGGGGCAACCCUGAUCCAGCGACGCCGCGUGUGUGAAGAAGGCCUGCGGGUUGUAAAGCACUUUUAGUGGGGAUGAAAAGUACAUCGCUAAUACCGGUGUAUCUUGACCUAACCCAAAGAAAAAGCACCGGCUAACUCUGUGCCAGCAGCCGCGGUAAUACAGAGGGUGCGAGCGUUAAUCGGAAUUACUGGGCGUAAAGCGUGCGUAGACGGUUAUUUAAGUCGGGUGUGAAAGCCCCGGGCUCAACCUGGGAAUUGCAUUCGAGACUGAAUAGCUAGGGUACGGUAGAGGGAAGCGGAAUUUCCGGUGUAGCGGUGAAAUGCGUAGAUAUCGGAAGGAACAUCAGUGGCGAAAGCGGCUUCCUGGACCAGUACCGACGUUCAGGCACGAAAGCGUGGGGAGCAAACAGG